AUUAUAUUUCUGAUAUGUUUAUGCAAUGCUGAUUAAGUAACGCUGAUUAGUUAAUAAUAAACUAAUUUUAAAACAUCAAUCUGCACAGUAGCUCUACUAAUAAUCAAUUAAACUUUUUUUUUAAAAAUCCCCAACUUGCAUUUUAUUAUUCAAGAUUCUUAAAAAUAGUAAAAUAAUAGUGCACAAUCAUAUUUGGACACUCUUUCCAAAAACACAGGACUGAAUACAGGGUUAGUUGAUAAAAAAUAGCAAUUUAUUAUUUAUUUCUUUAAUAAAAGUAUUCUUAUAGCAAAGUACAGUUUUUAAAAAAAGAAAAUAAAUAUUCAAUAUCUCGAGUAUAAAAAACAACAACAAAUCUGUUCCUAAGAUCUAUUUUCUGACAAUAAGCCAUCCAUGUGUUUGCCAGGCAGGAAAUAUUACUUACUUUUCACAAAAAGGGAUUUUCGAAUACAUCUCGCUCUUGUGGUUACAAAAAACAGCCAUACAUUUACAUGUGAUUGAGAAAGUGUGAUAGAAAUACACCAAUUUCUGCUGUUCCUUGUCUACAUCAUUCCAGAGCAUCUUUUGCACAUGAGAACCAACCCAAGUUUUGCCCCUUAAAAAUCUGAUGCUAAAUAUAAUAUAUGAAAAUCAUCGUUCUCCCUCCAAAAGAGUGACAAGAUCAGGCUUGCGAGGCUUACGUGUAUAUUUCAUGUUUGGAGUGAAUUCAUGAACAAAUUAGAAAGCAUUUUUCCAUACGAGAAACAAAUACGGAAGUCUUAUAAAUGAAACAAUUUUUCUAAUGUGCAAAAAAUGCAAAUACAUGUAAUGCAGUUUUGGAUAACUUACAUUUAUAUUUCAAUGUUAUAUUUCAUUAUUAAGUCAUAUAUAUAUAUGUGUAUAUAUAUAAUUUAUUUUAGUUUAAGUUAAAUUCUUUCAUGUUUCAUUUCAACAAACAGUAUCCUUUAACAUAACAAUCUUAAAGGGAAGGAUAAUGACUGCUCCUAGCUGGUACGAUAAACCAGUUCUUUUUUUUUUGCAAUGUUUGCACAGGCAUUUCAAGUGUGUUUUUGAAACUGUUAGCAUUGCUAAUGAUAAUAAAUACAUUCAGCCCUAACGCAAAUAAGGGGAUAUGGGAAUGUUGCACCAUAAACUGACUGAACCAGUAUGUUUCGAUUUGAAAGCAAUGAACGCUGUGCAUGGAAAGUAUAAUGAGGAAAAACAACAGUCUAAGGAAAACAGUGGCACAUGAUGGGGUGAGCAGAUUGUCUUCAGUAAGUGACCGUGCCAAACAGUUUCAAAGGCCGACCCCACCCUUCAUGCUGUAACGUUAUGAAACGCUGCUCUUUUUAACUGCUUGAAACUUGUGCAUUAAAGAACUAUAUCAGUUCAAAUGGUAAUGUUUUUCUCAGCAUUGUCUCAAAGCAGGUUUAAGGUUUGCCUUCUAUACUUCAGUGGAGAACCUGUUAACAUAGUGAGUUAGUUAAUUAGAUUAAAUCUCUUUAAACGAAGUCUAUUUGUAUUCAUAAAGUUUAAGUUUCCUAAAUAAGCCAAAUAUGCCUCACAAAUCAUUGAAACUACUACCAGAAUGCCUGUUUUCUUUUUCUACUGUUAUGUUUAUGUUUCUGUAUGUCUCAAGAUUUCUUUCGAACACCUAGCCUCAACUUCACGUCACCAUCAUCAAUAAUCAAAUGAAGCAUGUAUAAUAGAGUUUUACUCAAACAACAAGAAAAUAUGAAGUAUGCUUUCAAUCCUGAUAAGAACAAAUGACCUUUAGGUAACUCCCUUUAACUUCUGCUCACCCUUGCCUUAAGUAGUUAAAUGUGUUGAAUGGCCGAGUUUAGAAAUAUGGCUAUGGCAGCUGAAAUUAAUUGAUGGUUGCGAGCUGAAAAUAUUAGCAUAAGCUGCUUUGUUUUAAUGGCUUGCUGUUUUGCUUACUUUUCUGUUCAUUUUACCUCAUCCAGCUGUUUUUUUUCCCCACCAAACUGCAGUUUGGCUGAUAAUAAGAGAUAAGAAAAAUUCCACAGAGAUGUGCUCCAGUGUGGGGGAAAAAACUAUGCAACCCAUUACAGUUGUUGAUGUUGCCUUGACACAGCAGCUGCUCAGUAAAGAUGUUAAGCAUUUACUGUAUUGAAGUGUACAUGAUCACAUCCAAGCCCCUGGUUAGUUAGCAAUUUUGAGAAUCAGAGUUAAUUAUUACCAAAGAAGAGGUUAGGGUGUGAACAUUUCAGCAUGUAAGAAGCUAGAUUUCUGGCUAUUAACACACCCCGAAGAAAGCUGAAACUGCACUACUUUUUACUUCACUACGUUUGUCGACUACUGUAUUUGACAAAUCUGUGUAGAGGGCCUUUUUUAAGUGAAUCUUCACUGGCACUCCAAACACUAGCUGCUGAGGAAACCACAGAACUAUGGAUGGGUCUGUUUUUUUAUGUGCACUACGCCUAUCAUAAAAACAUUUUUUCAGUCAGUAUUUAUAUAGUUGCACAUGUAGAAUAGAAUCUCUAAGUCCAAAACUCCACUGAAGAAGCACCAUAACACUUUUUGUGAACUUUGAAAUGCAUCUUGAAGCUUGUUCCCGUGCGUAAAGGUUUAAACUCUAAGUGAUAUUGCAUGAAAAUCUUGUUGACUUGCCUACAUUUUCCUUUUUUCCCACAUAUUUACAGUGCUUGUCAGCCAAAAGUCCAACUUCUGUAGUAAACUGUAUGUUUCUCUUUGCCUUACCUUCUCAUAACCUUGCCUCGAUUUGAAUCGUUUAAGGGGUAACUCUUAACUCUGACAGAAAGAAAAUGGCAGAGGAACCUGAUAUUAAAUCUCAGUAUGGAUGUGUUGAAAAUGAUUUGAAUGCUGAGAACAAUCCCACAAGAUUUCUAAUGUUCCAACUACACUGAGCUGAAUUUUACAUUUCGGUUUUGCAACUGUCUUUGUGUGCAUUUCCAACAUGUUCAUAGUUAAAAUUCUGUGAGGGGUAACUCAAGAUAAUGGACAACAGACAGAAGUGUCAAUUAUUA
ensembl:lncRNA